rnacentral:rRNA from 1 species
UGUAGAGUGCAUUUUUUAGUAGAUAGAAAUUCCCUUCGGGGCUUUCUGCAAGGUGCUGCAUGGUUGUCGUCAGCUCGUGCCGUGAGGUGUCGGGUUAAGUCCCAUAACGAGCGCAACCCUUAUCGUUAGUUGCCAUCUGGUAAUGCAGGGGACUCUAGCGAAACUGCCACCGUAAGGUGAGAGGAAGUGGGAUGACGUCAAAUCAGCACGGCCCUUAUGUCCAGGGCUACACACGUGUUACAAUGGUCGGUACAGAGGGCAGCUACCUGGUGACAGGAUGCUAAUCUCGAAAACCGGUCUCAGUUCGGAUCGAAGUCUGCAACUCGACUUCGUGAAGCUGGAUUCGCUAGUAAUCGCGCAUCAGCCAUGGCGCGGUGAAUACGUUCCCGGGCCUU